AAAGUGCUGGGAUCACAGGCGUGAGCCACAGCGCCCAGCCUACAGAUGAAAUUUUAAGGAAAUGUCUGCUUUGAAUGCUGAAUAAAAUAUAAGAAAAAACCAAAAAUAACACAGUCUGCUGAAAUUCUGACAGCAAUGAUAAAAGAAUUUCCAAGGAACUAAAAUCCAGUGACAAAAAUGAAAUCAAUCAAGGCUGAAUCGCACACCUGAGACAUUCCUCGAGAAGGCAGAGGAGAAAGGUGUGAAACAGUGAACCAGAGAAGGAUGGCCAGGGACAACAAAGAUUGGAGUGCUGAAGUUGAAUGACAGAUAUUCUGGACAAAGACCCCAGAGACGACAAAAGGGGUCUGUCACACGCAGCCCAACUCAACUGGAGUCCUGAGAAGGUGACCAGACCAGGAUGGAGGCACAGGAAACUCACCAGAAGUCCCCAGGCAUCAGAACAAGGUCGAAGCAUCCUGGUCCUCACCUUCUAGCACAUUCUUCAAGAGUGAUUCUGAGGCAAGCCAGCCGCCAUGUCAUGAGGACACUCAAGCAGCCCCAUGGAGAGGUCCGAUGGCGAGGAACAGAGGAUCCCCCUGCCGAUAGCCAAUGAGGAACAGAGGCCUCCCAACAGCCAUGUAAGGGGUCACCUUGGAAGCCAAUGGCCCCUCCCUACUCAGGCUUUUACAUGACUGCGGUCCUGGCCAACGCCCUGACGGCAACCUCAUGAGAGACCAUGAGCCAGAGCCACCCACCUAAGCUGCUUCUAGGUUCCUGACCCUCAGAAACCAUGUGAGAUCAUAAAUGUUUGCUCAAUUUGAGAUAUUUGUGAUGCAGCAAUAAAUAACAAAUACACUUACCUUUCAAGGUUAUUAUAAGAAUUAAGAGUUAAUACACAUCAAACUACAACCAAACUUGCUGGGACCAGAGGCUCAAGAAAGGGCAGACAGGGCCGGGUGCGGC